rnacentral:lncRNA from 1 species
AGAUCGACAUUACGUAUCUUUGAAUAAUGUUUACCAUUUGUUGAUAAUUUUCUUGUGGUUUUCUCAUUGAGUCAAAGAUUAUCAACCGGUUCUUGAGAAUUUCAAUGACCAUGAGUAUCCAGUAAAAGCUGUUUACACACACAUAUAUAGUCAGACCUAUAUAUAACUAUAUAAAACUUGUCUCGAGUAAUAAUAAGUAAAAAAAAAUAUGCAUGCACUUAAUAACUAUAUAACUCACUCAAAGUUGAAGGGGAAGAGUAUUUUUUGUUUUUUUUUGUUCACAAAGAACCUCAUAAGAUUGGUGCAGACUUCUGUCUCAUGAGCUGUUGUCCACACUGCCUGCGGAGCCUUGAAAACAAUAUAAGGGUCAACGAACCCAAUACUAUUGUCAUUUCUCAUUCUGAGCUCUCUCAUUUGGUGCCUGCAUAUAUACAUACAAAUCCUAAGUGUCUAAGGAUUAUAUACAUAUAAUUAAAGAAGUUAAAAGUAUAAUAAAAAGAAAAAAAUACUUACAGACAAAAGCAGCUG